UCCGUAGGCGGACUAAUAAGUCAGGGGUGAAAUCCCACAGCUCAACUGUGGAACUGCCUUUGAUACUGUUAGUCUUGAGUUAUAUGGAAGUAGAUAGAAUGUGUAGUGUAGCGGUGAAAUGCUUAGAGAUUACACAGAAUACCGAUUGCGAAGGCAGUCUACUACGUAUAUACUGACGCUAAUGGACGAAAGCGUGGGGAGCGAACAGGAUUAGAUACCCCUGGUAGUCC
rnacentral:rRNA from 1 species